rnacentral:rRNA from 1 species
AUGCAUCUUAUCCAUAUUUUGUUAAUUUCGGAUAUUAAUGAAUGCCUUGAACCGGGCAAUUGUAAAGGGACCUGCCAUAAUACCAACGGAAGCUUUAGCUGUACAGAAUGUCCUCACAAGACUGAGUAUGAUCCAUUAAAAAUGCAGUGCACUAAGAGACAACAGUCUCUGCUCUUAUGUGUAAUUAUUGGGCUGCCAUGUGGUUUUGGUGUUCUACUUUUGAGCUUCAGUGUAGUGCUUCUCACUCGUAGAUGGAAAAUAAAUGUUCAAAAGCGACUAUGCAAGAACUAUUUCUGGAAGAACCAAGGUUUUCUCCUAGAAAGAUUGGUAUCAUCUGAUAAAAGUGCAAACGAGAAUACAAAGAUUUUCUCGUUAGAAGAGCUGGAGAAGGCAACCAAUAACUCUGAUCCUACACGUAUCAUUGGCCGUGGGGGUCAUGGCAUGGUUUACAAAGGCAUAUUAUCCGAUCAGCGUGUUGUUGCAAUAAAAAAGUCUAAGUUCAUUGAGGAGUGUGAGAUCAGUCAGUUCAUUAAUGAGGUCGCAGUCCUCUCUGAGAUAAAUCACAGAAAUAUUGUGAAGCAAUUUGUAUGUUGUCUCAAAACCGAGGUUGCACUGCUGGUUUAUGAUUAUGUAUCCAGUGGCUCACUGUCUGAAGUUCUUCAUGCAGAUGUAAGUAAUGAUCUUUCUUUGUCUUGGGGUGAUUACUUAAGGAUUACCCUGUAAACAGCAGGUGCUCUGUCUUAUCUCCACUCUUCAGCUUCAAUAUCAAUCUUCCAUCGUGACGUGAAGUGCUCCAAUAUACUCUUGGAUGGGAACUACACAGCUAAAGUUUCCGAUUUUGGCGCAUCCAGAUUGGUUCCGAUCAAUCAAACACACAUUGUCAUGAAUGUGCAAGGUACAUUUGGGUACUUAGAUCCAGAGUAUUUCCAUACCAGGCAGUUGAACGGGAAGAGCGACAUGUACAGUUUUGGUAUGGUACUAGUGGAGUUGCUUCUCAGAAAGAAGCCUGUUUUUACAAGUGAAUCAGGCACAAUUAAGAAUUUGUCAAAUUAUUUUCUCCAGGAGUUCAAUGAGGGGAGAAUCACAGGUAUUGUUAAUUCUCAGGUCCUGGAGGAGGCAACCGAGGAAGAGAUCAACGGUGUCGCCUCUCUUGCAGAGCGAUGCUUAAGACUGUGUGGUGAAGAAAGACCCACCAUGAAACAAGUGGAGACCGAACUGCAGACCCUACGAGCAAAGUUGGUGAACUCAUAUCAAGCAAACCUUAGAAAUGAAGAGCAAAUACAACCAAGUUGGUUAACUCGAAGAUCUGGAGCUGAUCAUCAAUCUUCUGUGACGAUAUUGGACGUCAAAGCCGACGUGCAAUCCGGAGGCUGUUACAGCUUGGAGGUAGAGUUCAUGGCAUCUGCUAGCCUUCCACGCUAG